UCAGGGUGGUAGUGUUCGUUUGCUUUUUAAGAGCUGGUUUACUCGCAUACCAUUGCCAAAGAGGAAGUUUGUGGAUUAUAGAGGAGGAUAUUAUGGAAGCCUUGGUAGAGUUUGGAACAAGAUGGGAGUGGCCAUAUGACACAGUUUGCCAAUUAAAUGAAGAUGCUGGGGACGGCUUCCAGAAAAUCUCCUGAACAGGGGAAGUUGUCUGUGGCUGUCCACUCUUUCCCUUCCCCCUGCUGGGACACAGACUUGCUGCUGUGAGGGGUAAGCCACCCUACACCAAAGAGUGGAAAAAUAAAGAGACUCGCAAAGGCUUCAGUGCUGACAUUUUUGAGCCACUGAUCCCAAUUCAGCAGCUUUUCAAAAUAUGAAGAAAACAAGCUCCUAUUUUAUUAAAGGCGCUGCUACCUCAUUACAGGCAGCUGAUUUGGAUGCUAAGGAUUCCCCCUUCAUUAGCAUGGGAGCCGCAUGGUACAGUUAUCCUCCAACCUGUCUGCACUCGAGAACAGCAAUCCCUGUGGAUGAGGAACCCACAGGAGGAAGUCGCCACGGCCUCCCUUCCUGCUUCUGCUGGCUUCCGUGGGCCUUGCCUCUCCUGGCUCAGCUCUGGUGAAUGGAUGAUCUCACAGUGAUCUCUCUGGCUCCCCGAAUUCCAGCCCUCACCUUUCUUCUGGCACAUCAUGGAACAGCCAGAAACAUUUUCACAGUCUUGAUCUUAUUCUGAAACUCAAACAGGAAGUUCUAGCUCAAGAAAUUGCAGGACUCUGAAAGAGAAGGCAAAGGAAGAAUGAUAACUUUAACUUAGAAGAAUCUUAAUCCCAAAUAUGAGGAAGCUGCUUAAGGUGCAUAUUUGGAUAGUUGGAGGAAUUUGUAUUAAGGCAAAACAAACAAGAACUUGUGGAAUUUUGUUAAAUAUCUUCACAGUAGUACAGUCAUAUAUCUUAAGCACUAACAAUAUGCUGUGGAAACUGUCUCUUAAAAAUGUGUUCACUCACACAGUAGAAAGACCAAUUUUGAAAACAACAAGCAAUGUACUUCUUAUAGUCUACUAAAGAUUUUUAAAAAGAGCAAACAAAAAUGGAAACGUGAAAACGGAUAACAGAAGCCAAAUGGCUACAGAGCCUUUGAAAAAACAUAAACAAGAAGCCAUUAACAGAUUUGAAAUAACUCAUCAGCAUAAGUAGCACACAGCUUUGCUAUGGGUGUACUUUUUGGAGAAGGAAGGAACACGAAUUAAAAUAUCUCAUAAGCAGAAGUUGAUCUCAAUGAGGAAAACAAGAAUCUCGUAGCUCAGGUUUAAUGCCAUAACAGAAAACAAGUGUACUAGGCCAACAAAAAUAGCAGCUUGGUUUACAAUCACUCUGUCAAGAAAUCUUUCUGGAGCAUCGUCUUUUGCAAGGCUCACUGCAAGAUCCACUCCACCCUCCUUACCUAAUCUCACUCUGCUUGCAAUGCCAAGUCAAGAGCCAGAUGCUAUUUAUGGGACAGUCAAUAAAGCACUUCCUGAUGAUCGAGAUAGAGAGAGUAAAAUACCAGAGCCUGGGCCCCAAACCAGACCACUAUAAUCAAUAUUCUAGGGUAUGGAGCUAAGAUUUUUAAAGGCAAGUGAUUCUAAUGGGCUGCCAAGAUUGUGAUCCACUGAAGAGGAAGCAAGAAAAGGUGAACCUGGCGUACUUGUGGAUCUAUAUGCCACGUUACUGCUCCUGGCUCUCUGGAGCUUUGUGAAAAUCCCUUCUCUGAGUCUUCUGAUAACCAAUCAAUUGCCUUCUGGAUGUUCAUGAACUCUUCACAUUGCCCUCCUCUACUGCCUUAAUUGGAGAAUAAUUGGAGAAAUUCUGGAAUUUCCAAUCUGUACAGCAGAACAACCGACUUGGCAGCACAGAUGGCUAUCAGGAUUAUCUUAAAAUCUUCCUUCUGAAGAAGGAAAGGCCACCAAGAUCGAGCUUUUCAUGUCUGGUUGCUUGUUCCAAGGUCGAUGCCACCUGAGUCCCAUUCCUCUCAUAGCCAGUCCUCUGCUUGCAGAACUGGGAGAAGAAAUGAGAUCAGUAUGGAGAGUCCUUUGUAAAUAGAGGCAGCUCGAAGACAAUGCAGAAGAGUGUUUCAAAGAACCACACUAGAGUCAGGCAUCAGAGCUUCGAUUCUUGGCUCCACUCUUCCUGGUUCUAUGAUUUGGGCAAAUUGCUGAAUCUAUUUGAAACUCAGUUUCCACAUCCCUAACAGGCUCUUACUAUAUCCCAGUUGCUGUGAGGAUUAAGAAAACCCACUAAAUUCUCAAUCUAUAUUGGCUCUUAGGCAGAUAGUGUUGCACAGCAGUUAGAAUGUAGGCUCUGGAGCCAGACUGCCCUAGUUUGGACCCCAACAUUGCUACUUGCUAGCUGUGUGGCUUUGGGCAAGUUACUUAAUGUCUCUGUGUCCCAGUUCCCUCUUGUGCCCCAAAGACAUAAUGAUAUCUAUAUGGUUGAUGGAAAGAUUAAACGACUCAACAUUAGGGUUGCUGACAUCUCAGUUUGCUUAGGACAGUUCCAGUUUAUGCCUUUAGUCCUCCUAUUCCGGUUGGCUUAGAAUUUGCCUACCCCUUUCAAAAGUGUUCCAGAUUAGACAAUUAAGUGUAUAAUCACUGUAGUUAAUGUAUAUAUCACUU